CAGCAAAAUACUUAUAUCAGUAAAUGAUUCCUGAAACUUGUUUGAGUCACUGCCACUAUUAAUAAUUUACUGAAACAAUUCAUCCUUGCGUUUUUGGUUCAGAUAGUGCUAGGAAUUAUUUAGCCAGCUCUAGAUUUAGCGUGUUCAAUCGUUCUGAAUUAUUUACUGUCAAGCACAUGGGUUGACAGAAGGUAAAAUGAUUUUGUACAUGAAAAAGAAUUAAAUCCUACUUAUGAAAAUGAUGCAUGAAAACAAUACCAGUGGAGGAGAUCCCAGCAGUUGACUUGAAGCAGUGUGGAAGAAGGGCAUGAAGAUCAAGGAAGGGACCUGCUGGAUACAAUCGUGCCAGACCUGGUGUUCAUCAUCGAUGAUAAGUCGCACCAGGUGUUCACCCGGUACGGAAACUACUUGGUGGCCAUGCAUACUCACAAAGCAAAAUAUUUCCUAUGUGGUUAUGUUAUUUCCCCUUUUGGCUAACGACAACUUUUGUGUUCUUUUAAUUUUGUUUGCUGCUCAACUUGUGCGGGUAAAUUACUGUCAGGUGACCAACCUGGAUGUUAUUAUUCUUAUUUUUAGCAUAUGGUAAAUCUAUUUUCUCUUGCUAUGUGCUAUUGUGGAAUUAUACACGAUAUGCGUGUGUGUGUGUAGUCACCACUCUUGAGGAAAAUUUUCAGUUCCUUUAUUCAGAACCAUUGCUUCAUGUGGUUUACGAAUUCUUUGAAACAAUGUAACGUGCUUCAUUUUCCUUCUGUAUGCACUUAUUAUCAUUUUCUUGAGCUAUUGGAUGAUUAUUCAUACUAAGUUACUGUCUCAUCACGACUUAGUUUACAGUUUGAUCUUACUAUAAACUUCUUGCAUUCACUUGCCCUGUAUUUUGUGGGCCACGGCACGCGAGGAGAUUGGUAAGGCGUGAAUGGAGAUACAGGUUCUGGAUUCUUUUACAUAGUGCUAGGAAUUAUUUAGCAGCUCUACAUUUUAGUAUGCUCCUUCAUUCUAAAUUAUCUACUGUCGUGCACAUGUGUUGACAGAAGAAGAACAAAUAAUUUUGUACAGGAACAUAAUACUAACAAUCACAGCUACUCUCAAUUUCACUGCCGAUCUGCUCUUUUAGGUGCUGCCGAAUUGGCUCAAUUCUUCUCCACACGUCGUUGGAAGGCUUCGUUGCGCCUCGCCGAAAGGUUAUCAGCCUAAUGGAAGUUUUUUGAGAUCAAGACUAUCAAGAUCCUGCCCGGUGUCAUGCUGGAAGCUAUGUUGCAGAAGCUGCACCUAUUGGCGGUGCAGCAACCUAUUAGAAUUAGUUUGUUUGUGUGUGCAGUGGCCUCUAAAGAUUGAAUUGCAGCGAUCUUAUUUAGAUGAUACUUUUGCUAUUUUUAGCUUUAUUUCUAUUCGUCUUUGAAAAACUAUAAGAGUGUUAAUAUAUUUCGCUAUUUUCCUAAUUGUGUGUAAGCAUUCUUGUUCUGUUCA